AUUGAACGCUGGCGGCAUGCCUUACACAUGCAAGUCGAACGGCAGCACGGGUGCUUGCACCUGGUGGCGAGUGGCGAACGGGUGAGUAAUACAUCGGAACAUGUCCUGUAGUGGGGGAUAGCCCGGCGAAAGCCGGAUUAAUACCGCAUACGAUCUACGGAUGAAAGCGGGGGACCUUCGGGCCUCGCGCUAUAGGGUUGGCCGAUAGCUGAUUAGCUAGUUGGUGGGGUAAAGGCCUACCAAGGCGACGAUCAGUAGCUGGUCUGAGAGGACGACCAGCCACACUGGGACUGAGACACGGCCCAGACUCCUACGGGAGGCAGCAGUGGGGAAUUUUGGACAAUGGGCGAAAGCCUGAUCCAGCAAUGCCGCGUGUGUGAAGAAGGCCUUCGGGUUGUAAAGCACUUUUGUCCGGAAAGAAAUCCUUGGCUCUAAUACAGUCGGGGGAUGACGGUACCGGAAGAAUAAGCACCGGCUAACUGCGUG
rnacentral:rRNA from 1 species